AGAUAAAGAAAAUACGAGGUGUAAAGAAGGGAGAGAAUCAGGAGAUAGGACAGAGCGACAGGAGGAGCGUGCCGUUGAGCUUUGUUGCUAUAGACACACGAGGACGAUUACUAGAAGAUUAUCUGACAGUAUUUCCGGGUCAAGGAGCAGUACAGCACUGGUGUACACACGUUUCUACGUGAGUCUUCAAAUGUUUGAAUCUGCAGACGGCUUUUCAUGACGAAGUGGUUUUCGUGUCCGAGAAGACAGGAAGAUGCAACACCGUGGCAAAGGCUCAACGUCUGGCCCUACAGAGGGAGAUAGACAAGGAGUCCCAGUCCACGGUUUCAGUCAGAUCACUGAUGGUCCAAGCCGACACAGGCAACAGGAUGGUUACCAUGAAGAAGACGAACAAGAAGAGUGGGAAGGACACCCACGCUGAGGAAGAGAUCUCAGAAAACACUUCCAUAAACCAGGGGAAUAACGAAGGAGUGAAGAAGAAAAAGAAGACGAAAGGAGAGACUCUGGUAGAAGAAGAGCAGGUGUCAUCCAAUGGGGAAGGGGGGAAUACGGAAGGAGAGCAGGAGAAAAAGAAAGGGAAGAAGAAGAAGUUGUCGUCUGGGACCAACGCUGAGGAAGCCAUGACUAAUGGAAAUGACGGAGGGUGCGGCCAGAAGAAGAAAAAGCAGAAAGGUGUUAACACUGUCAAAACGGAGGUAGAGACAGAACAGAGUGAAUUAAAGGACGAGAAAGGAGUAGUGGAAAAUGGGCCAAAGCAGAAAAAAAAGAAGCUCUCUCAGGCAGAAGAGACAGAGAUCAGCGUUGUCAAGGUAGAGGAAGGAGAGAUGAUAGAAAUAAAGAAAGGCAAGAAAAAGAAGGGAAAAACAGAGGAAGAAAAGAAAGUGAAAAAGAUCCCUAAAGCUGCUGAACCAACUGAGGAGAGUCAGGAGGGGGAGACGAAGAAGAAGGGUAAGAAGAGAGCAGUCGCUGAGAAAGGAGAGGCAGAGAAAGAAAUGGUAGUAAAGAAGAAGAAAGGAGAGACGAAAGAGAGAGAGAGCGGAGAGGCAGUGAAAGAAAUGGUAGUAAAGAAGAAGAAAGGAGAGACGAAAGAGAGAGAGAGCGGAGAGGCAGAGAAAGAAAUGGUAGUAAAGAAGAAGAAAGGAGCUGAGGCCACAGUAGCAGUACAGGAGGAGGAACAGAAUAACACCAAAAAGAAGAAACCCAAAUUCUCCAGCAGCGCUGCAGACACCACCAUGGAGACGGAAGGAAAGGAGGGCAAGAUGAAGAAAGAGAAGAGAAAGGCCUCUGCACUAACAGAGAAGGAGGAUGUGAUGGUGGUGGACAAGCAAAAGCACAAACAUAUGAAAAGGGUGGAUACGAAAGGAGUAGUGGAACAGUCGGAGGACGGAGAGAGCGAGGGAAGGAAAAAGAAGGUGAAGAAGAGCUCCUCUGAGGUAGAGACAGAAAUGGAGGACAGCACCCCUCACAAGAAAGGGAAGAAGAUUAUGACGAAGGGGAAAAAGAAGAUAAAGGUGGAGAGCUGCACCCCUGAAGACCAGGAG
rnacentral:lncRNA from 1 species